CGAAAUUUCUCUUUGUCUUUUUACAAUUAGUUCUGCUCGAGAGCUCAUGAAACAAAGAGAAAUUUCGAUUCGGUCGAAAAAUUUCGCUUAGUGGAAAACCGCCUUAAAGCCUUGCUCGAAUUUUUUUGGGGGGGGGAUUUCUGCAACCACCCCCUCAAAUAUCUAAUGGUCCGUCCCUUAUAGAGAUUUCGAGCACUGAUAAAAGUGAUAAUCUCACAUGUGAGAUUAUUUAUGAUAAUCUCACAUGUGAAAAUUAUCGCUUUUCAAUUUUCACUUUUCUGUAAAAGUUAUCGUUUUCUAAAGACUGUCCUUUAUAUAAUAAACAGAAAAAUACAUGGGUGCUUGGAAAUACCAGAUUUAUUUCUCGUGUUGAACAUGAUAUCCCACUCGUUCGCUGCGCUCACUCGUGAGAUAUCAUGUUCAACACUCGAAAUAAAUCUGGUAUUUCUCUAUAUACCCAAUAGCUAGGUGUCAGUAAAUAUUUGACUAAAAUAUAUUAAAACUUUUAAUAAAACUGUGCCUCCCUUGUUUGAUGUGCCGAACAUAAAAUAAAUACCUUGUUUUGUCUUACUUUCAAUAUUUCGAUUAUUUUUCGAAUAUUAUAAUUUGAUUCCCUUGCCAAACUUAGGAAUAAAUAUAACUAAGUCUAAGUAUAACCAUGUUAUAACUAAUUACUAUGCAGUGCAGGACGUCGCCAGUAGCAGGCAACCAGAACUGCAGAAUUGCGUUGUUUAUAUCUCAGGAUUUCUCUUGGCAGAUAUUCUCCAUGCAGAUAUUAUUAUUGCUAUUCAAAGUGUUUUAGGCCAGCUUAUAAUAUGCUGUUGCAAAGGGUUUAUUACAGUUGAACUAUAACAUGCGGGAUUGAACCUGAGACUGGAAAUUUUGACAUGCAUGUGCAUAUCAAAAUAUUUAACUGUUAAAUACUCUUAAUUGUUAGUCAAAACGCCUUCGUCUCACCCCCACCCCCGUCGUGCAUGCACCACUGAAUGGAGACCUUUAGCACAGAUUAUAGAUAGACCUUACAUAAGCCGUCUCAGCUAAAAAAGCGUAACGUCUGCCACGCCAUGAUUCGUCAUCAAAAUACACUCGCCAUGUUACUGGUCAGUGCGCUUACGAGAGGCAUUCGUUCCCUAAACGUCCACCAUUUGAAUUGUCAGGGGAGUGAAUGACUCUCGUAAGUGCACUGGCUAGGAACAUGAUUCCGAUUCCCUAUGCACGGGAUUCUCUUCCUUGCCUCAAUUCACCAAUCCCUUAUAAAACCCGCCAGCUACGUACUGUAGGCUACCUGAGCCUACCUCCAAUUGCGUCCCCACUGAGAUAUUGAGCAAAUAAAAAAAACCCGAUUCAGAACACCUCACUCUGUUUUGGGAGUAUUUUUCAGAGACAAAGUUAACACUUAACAGUUCUAAACAAAUUAAUAUAUGUGCAUUGCUGAAAUCUUAUGCAUUAUGUAAAUGAAUAUGAAAUUGUACUAUUCCCGAAAUGCAUCCAGUAAUAGAGUGUCAGUCAUCCGUGGUAUGGAAAUCAUUCCUGUGUGCGGUGUGCCCAAGUCGAGUUUCGCAGAAUAGACGUCCAGUAACAAGUUCUUAAGUCUGCUCUACGUCACCUCCAUCUUCCACAAUGAUAUUUGUGUGUCUAAUGUGAACAAUAAUGUACAAAAGGCACAGAUCCUCUUUGAACAAUCAUAUGCAGACCUUUCACUGCUGACCAAAAAAGUGAACAAACAGUCCACUUCUUUUGCACACUCUUUUCAGCAACGGUACUAACGGUAUUGGUCUUGCUUGAAUUUAAUGAAUCGUUUUUGUUGGAUGUUACUUGCAGCUCUCUACAUUCGAUACAUUCUUUUGCACCUUGUGAAAACACAAGAAUAUUUUAACGAAUUAUUUAACGCACGUUGUUAGCUCGAGAAUCGUUACGUGGUCGAGGGCCACGGACUGAAAUAUUUCUAUUUUGAUCUUAAUGUUGAGUAUUCAGCAGCAACCGCAAGCAUCAAGCGCAUAUUCUUGGAGAAUAGUUACUGAACAACAGAGGAAUAAGAGGAGAACACAAAUUACCAGUUAGGCAAGUAAAUUUUUGUUCGAAUACAUGUGUAUUAUACCUUACUUGUAUUAAAAUUCGCGCAGUACUAGAAUUCGCGCAGCGCUAGGUGCGCAAAUUUUAGGCUGCGCGAAAUAUAAUCCGCGCGAAAAGCUUUGUGGUGUAAUAUGAGACACUCAUCUUCAUCCUGGACACAACGAAAAGAGGAUCCAUUUGUACUCUAGCUAAAAUUUUGUUUGAUUUAUAAAGUAUAAUGUUAGGCAAUACCAUUUAUGAACCUGUAAUAUAUGGGAAAUGGGAAUGCUAAUAAAGAUUAUUGUUGUUGUUGCCGUUGUCGUUGUCAUUGGUAUUGUUCAGAACCAUACAAUAAUUUUUUUAGUUCUUGUUGGUAUUUUGAACUCACGCUUUAUUGUUAUCAUGAAUUUUGCUUACAUAACAUAAUUUUUAAGCCAUUUUUGAGGCCACCUAAUCGGUUUUUGAUUAAGUUUUGACAAAUAUUGAAGAAUUUGUUGAUU